rnacentral:rRNA from 1 species
UACGAAGGGGGCUAGCGUUGUUCGGAAUUACUGGGCGUAAAGGGCGCGUAGGCGGCCAUUCAAGUUAGGUGUGAAAGCCCUGGGCUCAACCUAGGAAUUGCACUUGAUACUGUUUGGCUUGAGUUUGGGAGAGGUGAGUGGAAUUCCCAGUGUAGAGGUGAAAUUCGUAGAUAUUGGGAAGAACACCAGUGGCGAAGGCGGCUCACUGGACCGACACUGACGCUGAGGCGCGAAAGCGUGGGGAGCAAACAGG